UCGACGGUAACAUUUCUAGCUUGCUAGAAGAUGACGAGUGGCGGACGGGUGAGUAAUGCUUGGGAACUUGCCUUUGCGAGGGGGAUAACAGUUGGAAACGACUGCUAAUACCGCAUAAUGUCUUCGGACCAAACGGGGCUUUUAGCUCCGGCGCAAAGAGAGGCCCAAGUGAGAUUAGCUAGUUGGUAAGGUAACGGCUUACCAAGGCGACAAUCUCUAGCUGUUCUGAGAGGAAGAUCAGCCACACUGGGACUGAGACACGGCCCAAACUCCUACGGGAGGCAGCAGUGGGGAAUAUUGCACAAUGGGGGAAACCCUGAUGCAGCCAUGCCGCGUGUGUGAAGAAGGCCUUCGGGUUGUAAAGCACUUUCAGUUGUGAGGAAAAGUUAGUAGUUAAUACCUGCUAGCCGUGACGUUAACAACAGAAGAAGCACCGGCUAACUCCGUGCCAGCAGCCGCGGUAAUACGGAGGGUGCGAGCGUUAAUCGGAAUUACUGGGCGUAAAGCGCACGCAGGCGGUUUGUUAAGCUAGAUGUGAAAGCCCCGGGCUCAACCUGGGAUGGUCAUUUAGAACUGGCAGACUAGAGUCUUGGAGAGGGGAGUGGAAUUCCAGGUGUAGCGGUGAAAUGCGUAGAUAUCUGGAGGAACAUCAGUGGCGAAAGGCGACUCCCUGGCCAAAGACUGACGCUCAUGUGCGAAAGUGUGGGUAGCGAACAGGAUUAGAUACCCUGGUAGUCCACACCGUAAACGCUGUCUACUAGCUGUGUGUGCCUUUAAGGCGGUGGCGUAGGCGAAGCUAACGCGCUAAGUAGACCGCCUGGGGGAGUACGGGC
rnacentral:rRNA from 1 species